rnacentral:rRNA from 1 species
GAUGAACGCUGGCGGCGUGCCUAAUACAUGCAAGUCGAACGAAACUUCUUUAUCACCGAGUGCUUGCACUCAGCGAUAAAGGGUUGAGUGGCGAACGGGUGAGUAACACGUGUGCAACCUGCCCAAAAGAGGGGGAUAACACUUGGAGACAGGAGCUAAUACCGCAUAACCAUAGUUACCGCAUGGUAACUAUGUCAAAGGAGGCUAUACUACCGCUUUUGGAUGGGCGCGCGGCGCAUUAGCUAGUUGGUAGGGUAAAGGCUUACCAAGGCAAUGAUGCGUAGCCGAAUUGAGAGGUUGAUCGGCCACAUUGGGACUGAGACACGGCCCAAACUCCUACGGGAGGCAGCAGUAGGGAAUCUUCCACAAUGGGCGAAAGCCUGAUGGAGCAACGCCGCGUGGGUGAAGAAGGUCUUCGGAUCGUAAAACCCUGUUGUUAGAGAAGAAAGUGCGUGAGAGUAACUGUUCACGUUUCGACGGUAUCUAACCAGAAAGCCACGGCUAACUACGUG